rnacentral:lncRNA from 1 species
CUUUAAUGAAUGUUUCCAGCAUCUUGUGAAAUUUAUGCCAUGAAAACCUGGGACUGUUUUGUGAGCAAAUGGAAGCCCUGUCUAGUAUUUGUGUAGUGUUUAUAAUAAAGUGCUCAGUAAAUCACAAAAAAAUGCAAGUGGGUUUAAUUGGAGGUUACUGAGAAUAUUGAGUGUGUUCAUGUGUUUCAGAAAAAAACAAAGCAGAGGGGUAUGAGGAGUCUUCUGGGCAAGGGCAGGAGACUUUACAUGAGGCUUAUACUUGAUGGUGUAUGGAGUGUUCUGCCAUCUCUGCCGCAUGGUUAUGUUGCUGCUAGACCACUGGGCUGGAGGAGACCAACUUCUUCAGAUGUUCUUCUACUGCUGCAGUGUAAAUACGACAUCAUCAAAGAGCGGCUUUAUAGAGAGAUGCUGCAGGAUGAGCAUGGUGUUGUAUGGUGGGCAUCAAUGCCAUCCCAGGAGCAGGUAAACUGUGUGUGUGAGCUGGGUGAAGCAGCAGAGGAAGCUUUGAAAGAGAAGGACUUGCUCUAUCUGUGUGACCUGCCUGGUGCUCUCUGCUUUUACAGGAACACGGAUGAGGUGGUCCUACAGGCCUGUGGUGAAGCAGUUAAACCCAGGGAUCAGGCAUGGUCAUCGAAACCAAAGGAACAGGCGUGGUCAGCUGCAGUGUUUCUUUCAGAACUGGAGUCUGAAUAUCAGGAGGAGAGAGCUUCUCUCACAGUGCUGCUCCACAGGGUGGACAAUUCAGUCCUGAGGGAGAUCUAUUUGCGGUUGUGUGUUGCUGUGAGGAGAGCAGAGCGAGAGCUUCACUCCCAAACAGCACUGCUGGCCUCCAAACAAUACUGGGACAAGUGGUGAGUUAACUGGACACACACACAUUAAGCUGAACUGCUUGAAUUUUUG